GCCUGAAUAGCUCAGUUGGUUAGUGUGUGGUGCUGAUAAUGCCAAGGUUGCAGGUUUGAUUCCCAUACAGGGCA
rnacentral:tRNA from 1 species